CCGGAGCCUGUGCUCCGCAACGGGAGGGGCCACAACAGUGAGAGGCCCGCGUACCGCAAAAAAAAAAAAAAAAAAAAAAAAAAAUCAAUUCUCAAGAAUUAACAAUAGCCUGACCAUCACCACAGUGGAUGGUGAACAAACCAGUAAAAAACAGCUCCAGCAAAGAUGAGCCACAAAGAAGGAGCGUGCGGACAGCCCUGGGUUAGAGAUGGCAAAAACAAAGCAAGAAAAGUGCCACAAAAUGAAUGAAAAACAUUAACUGAGGCAGGAAGAUAAAGCAGCACAAGAAUGACAAAUGGAAAGAAGAAGAUCACUAGAGAAGCAGAGGAGUGGAGGGCGAGCUUGUUGCACGUGUCCAGAUGUUAUUUCCACCUUCCUUUUCCUUCUUCUCCUUAGCCUGCCUGCAGCAGCCUGGCAGCCAGCGUUUCUAUGCUGCCCACCCCCGUCCCCCAUUGUCCAUAAUCUGCCACUCGGAAUAACCUAAAUGCUCCAGAGGUUUUGUGAUCACCUUUGCUUACUGAAAUUUUGCUGUCUCGUUCUUCAAAGUGCUUGGUGCGCGUAACGAAACUGAGAAGUGCAUUGUGUUCAUCUAAUUAUUCAUUCAUUCAACACAUACUCAUUAGACUAUUCCACAAUGAAUAAUACAAGCAGAUCUCUGCUGUCAUCAAGCAAAUAAUAAAAAAGAAACACAAAUACCUUAAAGCUACUUACAGGUUGUAAUAAGUGCCACGGAGCAUAUAAACAGGGCGCUGAGAUAGGAGGACCUGAAGUACGAAGCUCAGGAAAAGCCUCUUUGAAGAAAGGAGAUUUCACCCGAGAUUGGAUGAAGCCAGAAGAAACCAGCCAUUCACAGUGUGGGCAGACACUCCCGGAGAAGGAGAAGGAAGGUAGCAUUUACUUGGUCCACGCUGCUCAUCUUGCAAUGUGGGGCCCUGUGCCUGCCCUCAAGAGGCUAAGACACGAGACUGGGGAGAGACAGGAAUCCCUAGAACUGUGACAGUGCAUCAUUAAUCAUAUUGAAGUCCUAAAACAAAUGUGGACCACAGCGGUUUUUUUUUUUUGCCCAAGCCAACAUGGACUUUCAAAGUUACAAAUACUAAGGGAAAAUUUAUCAAGCUGAAAGAAAGGUUCCUACAAUUUUAGCCAUCACGUUCUAUACGAAUUUGCAGAGCCCUUCCCUUUCUUGUCCCUCAAAAUCUAACCUUAUAUGACUAGUGAUUUAACCCAGAAAAUCUGUCCAGAAAUUAAUAUGUUUAAGAAUAAAGGUCUCUGGACAAACGGUCCAGGUCCAGGCUGGAGACAGUUACGCGGCCACCGAGCUAGCAGCAGCAAGAAAGUGCCACGUCAUCACCAGUCGUGCAACCCGGAGGCCACAGAAAAGACAAACUCUGGACAACAAGGCCCGUGACCUGGGAAGAGACCCUAAGAAUUGCCCUCGGGGCUCCCUUUCUGGAGGCGACAUGCCGAGCUUAGGUGGGCGAAGCACACCUCUCUGAGUCAGGCCUCUCAUCUGUAUGUGUGUUUUUAAAACCCCCAAAUCCACUUUUCAAAGGAUUUCAGCUGGCUCUUUGUCCAGUAUCAGAAUUCUUAUCAGUGGAAACGUAACUAUUCACAACACAAUACACAGAAGGGGUCAUCUUUAUCAAACUAUGGUCUUAGGUGUAAAUCCUUCUAGGUAAAAAGACAAAUUGUUCAACUUCACAUACGAAAAUGUUUUUAAAAGUGAGCCCAUGUACGUAAGGAAAUGCCCUUGAUGACUUUAGAACAAUAAGUUGAUUUGAAAAAAAUAAAACACAUCAAUUACUAUUAUUGGAUAUUACAUUUUCAACUGAACUCUUGCCUAUUAUCAUCUGAACAAUACAAACAUUUCUGGAUUAGCAUUUUAUUCAUUAAAGGGUUUACUGGGUAUCAUGUGGGCAUUAGAUGCGCUGAGUCUACUAUGUCAACAAAGAAAUAAGUUUUUACGAAAAUUUGUCUGGCUUUUCAAUCUCCCUGGCUGUUGCUAUUUGGUUUCUAUCUCCAGCCUUUUAAAUACUGGUAUUUCCAAGGAUUCCAGUUUCUAUCUCCAUUUUGUGUCAUUCUCUCAACACUGCUAGGUGAUCACGCCUAAUUCUACGGUUUCAUACUGAGGGGUAUGUUGUACACACUCCUAAUUACCGACCUCCAGGCCUAGCCUCUCUGAGCCCCUCUCAUCUCUCACCUUAUUUCCAUCACAUCUCACUUUGCUUGCACUCCAUGUGAUGGAGGGGAGGGAUCUGCACUUUCUCCCCACCGAAUAGCAACUGUGGAUUAAAUAAAAUAACACCAUACAUUUUUAAGCCCUUGUUUUCAUGGUAAAGGCAACUGUGCUUUCAAUUAAUCUUCACAGUCCAAAGAAGAAGUUUCUAUUCCCUUCGAAUGAGUGACGAAAAUGAGAUCUGCAGACUUAAGCUGUUUUCCCAAAGUCACAGAACAGAGAAUGGGGCAGUGAGGACACUGGCUGUCUGCACUCUCUGCAUAGGUGACCACCUCGCAGAAUCCACAUGGACGCUCCCGCAGGAAAAGCCCUUCCUGGUCCCACUAGGAAAGUCAGGGCCCCUUCUGUGGACUUACAUUCCAAAUUGGGGUGUAAGUUUCUGUCUACCACCCCUCACGUACCCAAUCACACACAAACAGAACAAACACAGGGCUACUAUGGAGCCCAUGCCAGAUGAGGCCAGGAAUGCCGCUCACAUACUGGGAAUUAAAACUGACUCACUUCCUCCACCCUCUACUUGCCACUAAUUGCAGGUGGUCCGGUAUAGGAGAAAGUCAAGUCUUCCCUUCCCAGAAUGAGCAACCACCUGCUAUCAGAUUUCCAGAAGGCCUAAUUAGAAACUUCCAGUCACAGGUAGAACUUCAUAGCCUGUGAAGCUAGAAGUGCACCACCCCCAUCCUGUGACCCCUCCCUCCCCAGAGCUGCCAAGGUCGUCAUGGAACUUCACCCACUAACACAAGCGCCCUGGAAGAACACAGGCCUGCUCAGAGGGGCCAGGGUUAUUUGUUCCUUCCUGCCCUUGAAAGUGUGUAAUCAAAUUAAACAAAUCCACACUAAGAUCAAACGACCAUUCCAGACCUUAUAACCUUUCCAGUAUAUGUGCCCUAAAAAUGCUACUUAUUCAACCAACAGAGCCAG